CUACGGGGGGCUCCAGUGGGGAAUAUUGGACAAUGGGGGAAACCCUGAUCCAGCAAUGCCGCGUGUGUGAAGAAGGCCUGCGGGUUGUAAAGCACUUUCGGUUGGGAGGACUGCUUCUAGCACUAAUAUUGUUGGAAGUUGACGUUACCUUCAGAAGAAGCACCGGCUAACUCCGUGCCAGCAGCCGCGGUAAUACGGAGGGUGCAAGCGUUAAUCGGAAUUACUGGGCGUAAAGCGCGCGUAGGCGGCUAGACCAGUCGGGUGUGAAAGCCCCGGGCUUAACCUGGGAACUGCAUCCGAUACUGUCUAGCUUGAGUACAGGAGAGGAGAGUGGAAUUCCACAUGUAGCGGUGAAAUGCGUAGAUAUGUGGAGGAACACCAAUGGCGAAGGCAGCUCUCUGGCCUGAUACUGACGCUGAGGUGCGAAAACGUGGGGAGCAAACAGGAUUAGAUACCCCUGUAGUC
rnacentral:rRNA from 1 species